rnacentral:rRNA from 1 species
GAUGAACGCUGGCGGCGUGCCUAAUACAUGCAAGUCGAGCGAACGGACGAGAAGCUGGCUUCUCUGAUGUUAGCGGCGGACGGGUGAGUAACACGUGGAUAACCUACCUAUAAGACUGGGAUAACUUCGGGAAACCGGAGCUAAUACCGGAUAAUAUUUUGAACCGCAUGGUUCAAAAGUGAAAGACGGUCUUGCUGUCACUUAUAGAUGGAUCCGCGCUGCAUUAGCUAGUUGGUAAGGUAACGGAUUACCAAGGCAACGAUGCAUAGCCGACCUGAGAGGGUGGUCGGCCACCCUGGAACUGAGGCAGGGUCCAGACGCCUACGGGAGGCAGCAGUAGGGAAUCGUCCGCAAUGGGCGAAAGCCUGACGGAGCAAGGCCGAGUGAGUGAUGAAGGUCUCCGGAUCGUAAAACUCUGUUAUUAGGGAAGAACAUAUGUGUAAGUAACUGUGCACAUCUUGACGGUACCUAAUCAGAAAGCCACGGCUAACUACGUG